rnacentral:rRNA from 1 species
UACGUAGGGAGCAAGCGUUGUCCGGAAUCAUUGGGCGUAAAGCGCGCGUAGGUGGCUUCGUAAGUCCGUUGUGAAAGUCAAAGGCUCAACCUUUGAAUGCCGAUGGAUACUGCGGAGCUAGAGUACGGAAGAGGCGAGUGGAAUUCCUGGUGUAGCGGUGAAAUGCGUAGAUAUCAGGAGGAACACCUGUGGUGUAGACAGCUUACUGGACCACUUCUGACGCUGAGACACGAAAGCGUGGGUAGCAAACAGG